rnacentral:misc_RNA from 1 species
GAUGAAGAACGUAGUGAACUGCGAUAAGUAGUGUGAAUUGCAGAAUUCAGUGAAUCAUCGAAUCUUUGAACGCACAUUGCGGCCAUAGGUAUUCCUUUGGCCAUGCCUGUUCGAGCGUCAUUUACACCCUCAAGCCUAGCUUGGUGUUGGGCGUCUGUCCCGCCGUUUUCGCGCGCGGACUCGCCUCAAAGUCAUUGGCGGCGGUCGUGCCGGCCCCCUCGCGCAGCACAUUUGCGCUUCUCGGAGGCCCGGCGGAUCCGCGCUCCAGCAAGACCUUUCACGACUUGACCUCGGAUCAGGUAGGGAUACCCGCUGAACUUAAGCAUAUCAAUAAGCGGAGGA